rnacentral:rRNA from 1 species
UACGGGGGGGGUAAGCGUUGUUCGGAAUUACUGGGCGUAAAGGGCUCGUAGGCGGCCAACUAAGUCAGACGUGAAAUCCCUCAGCUUAACUGGGGAACUGCGUCUGAUACUGGAUGGCUUGGAUUCGGGAGAGGAAUGCGGAAUUCCAGGUGUAGCGGUGAAAUGCGUAGAUAUCGGAAGGAACACCAGUGGCGAAAGCGGCUUCCUGGUCCAGCACCGACGUUCAGGCACGAAAGCGUGGGGAGCAAACAGG